rnacentral:rRNA from 1 species
GACGGAGGAGGCAAGCGUUAUCCGGAAUUAUUGGGCGUAAAGCGUCCGUAGGUGGCCCCUCAAGUCUGCUGUUAAAGCCCAGGGCUCAACCCUGGAGAAGCAGUGGAAACUGGGAGGCUAGAGUGCGGUAGGGGUAGAGGGAAUUCCCGGUGUAGCGGUGAAAUGCGUAGAGAUCGGGAAGAACACCAGUGGCGAAAGCGCUCUGCUGGACCGCAACUGACACUGAGGGACGAAAGCUAGGGGAGCGAAUGGGAUUAGAUACCCCAGUAGUCCUAGCCGUAAACGAUGGACACUAGGUGUUGCGCGUAUCGACCCGUGCAGUGCCGUAGCCAACGCGUUAAGUGUCCCGCCUGGGGAGU